rnacentral:rRNA from 1 species
GAUUUCUGGCUUGUAACAUUUUGCCGGCCACGGUUUCGUGUGUUAGUGCUUGAUGUUCUGGCCAUCCUUCCAAUCGCUGCUUACUUCUCUUCACUGAUUGGUAAGUAGUAUUGGAUCUUUUACUUUGAAAAAAUUAGAGUGUUUAAAGCAGGCUAUUGCUAUGAAUACAUUAGCAUGGAAUAAUAAUUUAGGACUUCGGUUCUAUUUUGUUGGUUUCUAGGACUGAAGUAAUGAUUGAUAGGGACAGUUGGGGGUGCUAGUAUUCAGCGGCCAGAGGUGAAAUUCUUGGAUUCGCUGAAGACUAACUUAUGCGAAAGCAUU